rnacentral:rRNA from 1 species
AUUGAACGCUGGCGGCAGGCCUAACACAUGCAAGUCGAACGAGUGGCGGACGGGUGAGUAAUGUCUGGGAAACUGCCUGAUGGAGGGGGAUAACUACUGGAAACGGUAGCUAAUACCGCAUACCAUCGGAUGUGCCCAGAUGGGAUUAGCUAGUAGGGGGGGUAAAGGCUCACCAAGGCAACGAUACGUAGCUGGUUUGAGAGGACGACCGGCGACAUUGGGACUGGAACACGGCCCAGAUGCCUACGGGAGGCAGCAUUUGUGAAUUUGGGACAAUGGGGGAAACCCUGGUCCAGCCAUCCCGCGUGUAUGAUAAAGGCCUUCGGGGUGUAAAGUACUUUUGGCAGAGAAGCGGUAUCUGCAGAAUAAGCACCGGCUAACUACGUGCCAGCAGCCGCGGUAAUAC